GGGGCGUGGCCUGCGGGAGUAGCGCCGCGUCCGCCUUCCGGGUCGGGACCGGGCGGGCGGAGCCGAACCGGACCGGGACAGCCGGGCCCAGCGGGGCCGGGACAGCCGGGCCCAGCGGGGAAAGCAGAGCGGAGCGGGCCGGAUACGAGCCGAGCAGAACCGGGCUGAGCCAAACCGGACUGGGCCGCGAGCAGCCGAAAGCGCUCGGGCCGAACCGAGCGGAACCGGGAGUACCGAACCCGCUGGGACCGAGCCGAGUGGAACCGGGAGUACCGAACCCGUUGGGACCGAGCCGAGUGGAACCGGGAGUACCGAACCCGCUGGGACCGAGCCGAGCGGAACCGGGAUUACCGAACCUGCUCGGGCCGAGCGGAGCGGAACCGGGAGUACCGAGCCGAGCGGAACCGGGAGUACCGAACCCGCUGGUUCCGAACCGAGCGGAACCGAGCCGAGCGGAACCGGGAGUACCGAACCUGCUCGGGCCGAGCGGAGCAGAACCGGGAGUACCGAACCCGCUGGGACCGAGCCGAGCGAAACCGGGAUACCGAACCCGCUCGGGCCGAACCGAGCGGAACCGGGAGUACCGAGCCGAGCGGAACCGGGAGUACCGAACCCGUUCGGACCGAGCCGAGCGGAACCGGGAGUACCGAGCCGAGGGGAACCGGGAGUACCGAGCCCGUUCGGACCGGCCAUGGGGCAGAUCGAGUGGGCCAUGUGGGCGAACGAGCAGGCGCUCGCCGCCGGGCUCAUCCUGCUGACCGGCGGGAUCGUGGCGGUGGCGGGGCAGUUCCAGGGCUGGUACUUCGCGGCCUAUUCCAUCGCGGCGGGGGUUCUGGUCUGCCUGCUCGAGUACCCCAGGAGCAAACGGAAAAAGGGCUCCACCAUGGAGAGGUGUGGUCAGAAGUACCUGACAGCCGUGGUGAAGCUGCUGGGGCCCCUCACCAGGAAUUAUUACAUCCGAGCCGUCCUUCACGCCGUCCUGGCUGUGCCUGCCGGAUUCCUCCUCUCCACCAUCCUGGGCACCGUCUGCCUGGGCAUCGCCAGCGGCAUCUACCUGCUGGCUGCAGUCCGAGGGGAGGAGUGGAGACCCAUCGAGCAGAAGCCCCGGGAGCGGCCACAAGUGGGGGGCACCAUCAAGCAGCCCCCCAGCAACCCCCCGCCCCGACCACCCCCCGACGCCCGCAGGAAGCAGCCGGAGGUGGGGGGGCAGGUGAACCCCAUCCCUGUGGAGGUGGAAUAAUGGGGGGUCCUCCUGCCCCGCUGCUCCUGCUCCUGCUUCCCAGCUGCUCCUGGGGAUCCCCAAAUCCCUGGGGGUGCUGAGCUCCUGCUGGGGGUCCCCCACUCCUGGUGAUGCUCAGAUCUGUGGGAUCAUCAGUUCCCCCUGGGCUCCCCCAAAUUCCCAAAUCUGGGGUCCCCAGCUCCUGGGCAUCUCCAGAUCCCCAGCAAUGCUCAGCUCCCUGUAGGAUCUCCGUCUCCCACAGAUCCCCAGAUCCCUUAAGAAGCUCAGCUCCCAAAUUCCCAGUGAUGGGAUGCUCCUUGUGGGGUUUCCAGCCCUCGGGGGCUUCCCAGUUUCAGGAGAUUCCCAAAUCCCUGGGCCUGCUCAACUCCCAGUGGGGUCUCCAGCUCCCAGGAACUCCCCAGCUCCUGGACCUCCCCAAAUCCCUAAGAAUCUUCAGCUUCCUGUGGGAUCUGCAGCCCCCAAGGCCUUCCCUAAGGAUCCCCCAAAUCCUUGGGGAGUCUCAGCUCCCUGUGAGUCUCCAGUUCCUGGGAAACUCUGGAUCCCUGGGCAUGCUCAGCUCCCUGAGGGUCCCAACUCCCCGGGCACCCCCAGUUCCCUGGGGGAUCCCCAAAUCCCUGUGGAACUCCAGCUUUCAGGGAAUCCCCAGCUCCCGGGGGGAUCAGGCAGCUCUGCUCCCGCUCUCCUUGGUUUUUGUCCUUUCUGCAGUUGCUGUUGCAAUAAAAAGUGGGAAAG
ensembl:lncRNA